rnacentral:rRNA from 1 species
CCCUUAGAUGUUCUGGGCCGCACGCGCGCUACACUGAUGCAUUCAACGAGUCCAGCCUUGACCGAGAGGUCCGGGUAAUCUUUGAAACUGCAUCGUGAUGGGGCUAGAUUAUUGCAAUUAUUAAUCUUCAACGAGGAAUGCCUAGUAAGCGUGAUUCAUCAAAUCGCGUUGAUUACGUCCCUGCCCUUUGUACACACCGCCCGUCGCUCCUACCGAUUGAGUGUGUUGGUGAGGAGUUUGGAUUGGCCUCGGAAGGUGGUUCGCCACCGUCCGUAGCUGAGAAGUUCUCCAAACCGCCCCACUUAGAGGAAGGAGAAGUCGUAACA